CAGAUAUUUUGUUGACAACAUGUAUUGCACCUCAUAUGCUUUCUAUUGUCCAUUAUGAGGGAGGUAUUAUAUCUCUUAAAGUGUGUAUAACUCAGUACUACUUCUUCGGUGCUUUGGAAUCCUUAGAAUGUUUACUGUUAACAGUGAUGUCUUAUGACCGAUAUCUGGCCAUCUAUAACCCCCUGCAGUAUACCUCUAUAAUGGACCAUGCAUUUUGUAUUAAAUUAAUAGUUAUAUGUUGGGUAUUAGGCUUUUUUAUAGCACUAAUUAGUGCAGUAACAAUAACUCAGCUGAC